rnacentral:rRNA from 1 species
GACGAACGCUGGCGGCGUGCUUAACACAUGCAAGUCGAACGGAAAGGCCCUGCUUUUGCGGGGUGCUCGAGUGGCGAACGGGUGAGUAACACGUGAGUAACCUGCCCUUGACUUUGGGAUAACUUCAGGAAACUGGGGCUAAUACCGGAUAGGAGCUCCUGCUGCAUGGUGGGGGUUGGAAAGUUUCGGCGGUUGGGGAUGGACUCGCGGCUUAUCAGCUUGUUGGUGGGGUAGUGGCUGACCAAGGCUUUGACGGGUAGCCGGCCUGAGAGGGUGACCGGCCACAUUGGGACUGAGAUACGGCCCAGACUCCUACGGGAGGCAGCAGUGGGGAAUAUUGCACAAUGGGCGGAAGCCUGAUGCAGCAACGCCGCGUGCGGGAUGACGGCCUUCGGGUUGUAAACCGCUUUCGCCUGUGACGAAGCGUGAGUGACGGUAAUGGGUAAAGAAGCACCAGCUAACUACGUG